UGUUUUGAAUAUUUUUGCUUUGUUCAAAGGCACUUAUGCCAAGGCAAAGAGGAGGGCCAAGAAGGCGGAAUGCGAGUUAGUUGUGGACACCACGGAGCUGUCGGCGAUGCUGCUGCGGGUGCAGCUGGAGGUGUGGCAGCAGAACAGGGACGUCCUGCAUGAGCAGCAGCAGCUGAGGCAUGAAGUGCGGGUCGUUGUCUCAGCCUGCCUUGUCGACGGUGCCUCCAGUUCUUCCUCGGCUACUUGCCGACAAUAUUAAAGAAUUAGAGGCAGCCGUGCGGGAUGAGGCUGUGGCUGCC